AGAAGUGAGGGCGGCGCGGC
rnacentral:misc_RNA from 1 species